UGAUUAUUUUGUGACUGAGUGGCGAACGGGUGAGUAAUACAUAAGUAACCUGGCCUUUACAGGGGGAUAACUGUUGGAAACGAUAGCUAAGACCGCAUAGGUGUCAUAACCGCAUGGAGAUGAUAUGAAAUAUGCUACGGCAUAGGUAGAGGAUGGACUUAUAGCGCAUUAGCUAGUUGGAGGGGUAACGGCCCACCAAGGCGACGAUGCGUAGCCGACCUGAGAGGGUGACCGGCCACACUGGGACUGAGACACGGCCCAGACUCC
rnacentral:rRNA from 1 species